rnacentral:sRNA from 1 species
GUUAAGGAGGGUUGAUUUCUGAGAAUAGAUGUGGGCAAAGGGCUUCCAGACCCAGAUGGGGAAUUAAGAGAUGGCUUGGGAAUGACAUGAUCUGAGGAAGGGCCUGGGUCAGGGAAGAGCAUGUUUGUGUAGUUGGUUCAUAACUUCUCUGGGCUUCUGCUUGUCUAGGUGCAAUUAACAGACUUUGAGAACUCUGCCUAUGUGGUGUUUGUGGUACUGCUCACCAGAGUGAUCCUUUCCUACAAAUUGGAUUUUCUCAUUCCACUGUCAAAGGUUGAUGAGAACAUGAAGGUAGCACAGAAAAGAGAUGCUGUCUUGCAGGGAAUGUUUUAUUUCAGGAAAGAUAUUUGCAAAGGUGGCAAUGCAGUGGUGGAUGGUUGUGGCAAGGCCCAGAACAGCACGGAGCUCGCUGCAGAGGAGUACACCCUCAUGAGCAUAGACACCAUCAUCAAUGGGAAGGAAGGUGUGUUUCCUGGACUGAUCCCAAUUCUGAACUCUUACCUUGAAAACAUGGAAGUGGAUGUGGACACCAGAUGUAGUAUUCUGAACUACCUAAAGCUAAUUAAGAAGAGAGCAUCUGGAGAACUAAUGACAGUUGCCAGAUGGAUGAGGGAGUUUAUCGCAAACCAUCCUGACUACAAGCAAGACAGUGUCAUAACUGAUGAAAUGAAUUAUAGCCUUAUUUUGAAGUGUAACCAAAUUGCAAAUGAAUUAUGUGAAUGCCCAGAGUUACUUGGAUCAGCAUUUAGGAAAGUAAAAUAUAGUGGAAGUAAAAC